rnacentral:rRNA from 1 species
UAAUUCUAGAGCUAAUACAUGCUGGUGUGCCCGACUUUUCGGAAGGGCGGUAUUUAUUAGAUAACAAAUCAAUAUUCCUCUGGUCUAUUGUGGUGAUCAUAAUAACUGAUCGAAUCGCAAGGCUUUUAGCCGCGAUAAAUCAUUCAAGUUUCUGCCCCAUCAGCUUUCGAUGGUAGUGUAUUGGACUACCAUGGCGUUUACGGGUAACGGAGGAUUAGGGUUCGAUUCCGGAGAGGGAGCCUGAGAAACGGCUACCACAUCUAAGGAAGGCAGCAGGCGCGUAAAUUACCCAAUCCUGACUCAGGGAGGUAGUGACAAGAAUUAACGGACCGAGGCCUUCUGGCUUCGGGAUU